rnacentral:snoRNA from 1 species
AAACUUGAUGACGACGACCUCGUCACGUACAUCCUCACCGGCCUCGACGACGACUUCGACAAUGUGGUCACCUCCAUCACCACCAGGGUGGAACCCAUCACCAUACCCGAGUUGUAUGCGCAACUCAUCGCGC